rnacentral:rRNA from 1 species
ACUUCCUAACCGGGUAACCCGAAGUCCCCUGGAACGGGGCACCAUAGAGGGUGACAGUCCCGUAGGGGUGAACCGGUGGAAGAUUUUUGGGUCUCCAGAGUAGCGUGCGUUGGAUAUCGCGCGUGAAGAUGGGAGACAUAAACUUCCAACCCUAAAUACUUCCCGAGACCGAUAGCGUAGUAGUAGCGUGAGUGAAAGCUGAAAAGUACCCCUGGCGGGAGGUGCAAAGAGCAUGAAAUCAGGUGGUUACAGACUGAUAGGGCAUGAAAGCAAAGAAGCCCCUAGCGGGGUGGAGCAGUGUCCUAUCGUUCGUUUCGAAAAACGACCCAGGGAGUUCUGGGUAAUGGCGAGGUUAAGGGCGAAGAGCCCGAAGCCGUAGCGAAAGCGAAUGGCCGCAGGUAACGAGGGCCAGGGUGUACUCGCCUGUAGUCAUUACCCUGAGACCCGAAGCCAGUCGAUCUACGCCUGGCCAGGUUGAAGCCCCAUGAAAGUGGGGUGGAGGACCGAACCGGUGCUGACGUGCAAAUCGUUCGGAUGAGCUGGGCGUAGGGGCAAAAGACCAAUCUAGACUGGCGAUAGCUGGUUCCCCCCGAGACUACCCGCAGGUAGACCUCCGUGGAGAUGGACUGCGCGGUAGAGCACCAAUUGGGUGUUUAGGGGAAGAAAUUCCUCGGCACCCUGUUGAACUCCGAAUGCGCAGUCAUCGUAGAAGCGGGGUAGUGAGGGCAUCUGGGGUAAGCUUGGUGUCCGAAAGGGAAAGAACCCAGCCUUACGUUAAGGCCCCUAAGUGCCAGCUAAGUGUGACCCAAAGAGCGUGUGCCACCUAAGACAACCAGGAGGUUGGCUUAGAAGCAGCCAUCCUUUAAAGAAAGCGUAACAGCUCACUGGUCGAGGUGGCAUGCCUCGAAAAUGGACGGGGCUAAGCUGGCCGCCGAUACGUAAGCACACCCAAAAGGUGAUUGAGUAGGGGGGCGUCGUGCGUGGAGAGAAGCUCGGCCGUGAGGUCGAGUGGACCGCGUACGAACGAGGAUCCUGGGAAAAGUAGCAGCUAAAGUGGAGUGGGAAUCUCCACCACCGGAAGGGCUAGGGUUCCUCGACGAUGUUCAUCAGUCGAGGGUUAGUCGGUCCUAAGGCCUACCUUAACCGAGUAGGUCGAAAGGGAAGCAGGUUAAUAUUCCUGCACCUCACCUGCAUUUGCCUAGGUUUUGACGCAUCCGGGUAGGCCCAGCAGGCUCGUCUACCUGUCUAAGCGUAUUAAACCGGGGGAGUACCGUAAUGGUGAGAACCCGGCCAAAGCGCGAUGGGUCCGCCAUUUUAGGCGGAUUGGGCUAAUCCCAGGUGCCCGUGAAAAGAAACCUAGGAUGUAGCGGGUGAGACCGUACCGAGAACUGACACAGGUGCCCCUAGCUGAGAAGGCUAAGGUGUGUCGGCUUAAUCCAGGCGAGGGAACUCGGCAAACUGGUCCCGUACCUUCGGUAGAAGGGAUGCCUGCUUCGCAAGAAGCAGGUCUCAGUGACUAGGGGGCUCCGACUGUUUAAUAAAAACACAGGAGACCGCAAGCCCGAAAGGGUGUGUAUGGUCGCCGAGUCCUGCCCAGUGACGGUAUCUGAAAGCCCCGUACAAGGGGAAGAAGGACCGUUAAACGGCGGGGGUAACCAUGACCCUCUUAAGGUAGCGUAAUACCUUGCCGCUUAAUUGGCGGCUUGCAUGAGUGGCUUAACGAGAGCCCCGCUGUCCCCGCCUGGAGGCCGGUGAAAUUGACUUACUGGCGCACAGUCCAGUACCCUCCAGAAGGAAGCGAAGACCCCGUGGAGCUUUACUGCAGCCUGUCGUUGUGAUACGGUAGAGGAUGUGAAGUGUAGGUGGGAGCCGUCGAAGCCAGGGCGCUAGCUCUGGUGGAGGCGCCAAUGGGACACCACCCUUCCUUUGCCGCGUCACUAACUCGAAAGAGGACAACGAUAGGUGGGCAGUUUGGGUGGGGCGCCACGCGCUCGAAAAGAUAUCAAGCGCGCCCAAAGGUCGCCUCAGGGGGUUCAGAACUCCCCCGUAGAAUGCAAGGGUAAAAGGCGGCUUUACACGGAUUGGCAUAAUAACAAUCCGUGUUGCGAAAGCAGGGCCUAGCGAACCAACCAAGCUCUUUUAUGGGGCUGGUUGAUCACAGAAAAGUUACCCCGGGGAUAACUGAGUUGUCUCCAGCAAGAGCCCACAUCGACCUGGAGGCUUGCUACUUCGAUGUCGGCUCUCCGCAUCCUGGCGGUGCAGCAGCUGCCAAGGGUGAGGUUGUUCGCCUAUUAAAGCGGAUCGUGAGCUGGGUUUAGACCGUCGUGAGACAGGUUGGUUGCUAUCUUCUGGAGGC